UACAUAGGGUGCAAGCGUUGUCCGGAAUCAUUGGGCGUAAAGGGAGUGUAGGCGGCUUUGCAAGUUAAAUGUGAAAUCCUGUGGCUUAACCAUAGAACUGCAUUUAAAACUGCAUGGCUUGAGUAUGGAAGAGGUAAGUGGAAUUCCUAGUGUAGCGGUGGAAUGCGUAGAUAUUAGGAGGAACACCAGAGGCGAAGGCGGCUUACUGGGACAUUACUGACGCUGAGACUCGAAAGCGUGGGGAGCAAAC
rnacentral:rRNA from 1 species